GACGAAGGUGGCAAGCGUUGUUCGGAAUCACUGGGCAUAAAGAGCACGUAGGCGGCUAAGUAAGUCGGAUGUGAAAUACCUCGGCUCAACCGAGGAACUGCGUCCGAUACUGCUUGGCUUGAGGUCCGGAGGGGAGAGUGGAAUUCCAGGUGUAGCGGUGAAAUGCGUAGAUAUCUGGAAGAACACCAGUGGCGAAGGCGCUCUACUGGGCCACAACUGACGCUGAGGGACGAAAGCUAGGGGAGCGAAAGGG
rnacentral:rRNA from 1 species